rnacentral:rRNA from 1 species
GACGAACGCUGGCGGCGUGCCUAAUACAUGCAAGUAGAACGCUGAAGGAGGAGCUUGCUCUUCUGGAUGAGUUGCGAACGGGUGAGUAACGCGUAGGUAACCUGCCUGGUAGCGGGGGAUAACUAUUGGAAACGAUAGCUAAUACCGCAUAACAGUAGAUGUUGCAUGACAUUUACUUAAAAGGUGCAAUUGCAUCACUACCAGAUGGACCUGCGUUGUAUUAGCUAGUUGGUGGGGUAACGGCUCACCAAGGCGACGAUACAUAGCCGACCUGAGAGGGUGAUCGGCCACACUGGGACUGAGACACGGCCCAGAAUCCUACGGGAGGCAGCAGUAGGGAAUCUUCGGGAAUGGACGGAAGUCUGAACGAGCAACGCCGCGUGAGUGAAGAAGGGUGUCGGAUCGUAAAGCUCUGUUGUAAGAGAAGAACGAGUGUGAGAGUGGAAAGUUCACACUGUGACGGUAUCUUAACAGAAAGGGACGGCUAACUACGUG